AGCCAACAUGUGGUUGCUGGGAAUUGAAUCAGGUCCUCUGGAAGAACAGCUCUUAAUCUCUGAGCCAUCUCUCCAGCCCCAAUUUUCUUAUUUUUUUAUGUGUGUGUGUUCAUGGUUGUAUGUGUGUAGGUUAGAGGAAAAUCCAUGGGAGUCUGUUAUUUCUUUCCACUGUUUGGCUCCAGAGAGAAAACUUAGAUCAUCAGGCUUGGUAGCAAGUGCCUUUGCUUACCAAGCUAGUCUAUCAGCCCCCUCAAUUCUCUUUUAAAUCCAAGUUCAUAGGAGAGUAGUAAGCUACAUUAUUAAACACAGCAAACAUAAACUUAAUUUAAUUCCAGGAAUUAGGGCUGGAGAGAUAGCUCAGUGGUUAAGAGCACUGGCUGCUCUGCUGGAAGACCUAGCUGGGUUCCGUUCUCAUCACCCACAUGGCUACUCACAGCUGUCUAUCUUCAGUACUAGGGAAUCUUGCACCCUCUUCUGGCCCCCGGAGCACUGCACAUGCCUGGUGCAGCACAGGCUUGGUGCAUGGACCUUUUUGCAGGUAAAACACCUAUACACAUAUAAAUAAAUCUUUGAACAAAUUCCAGGGUAUAAUUUUUACUCUCUUUCUAGUUGUGAUUCUUGGGUGGAAGAGAUGUGAGAUGAUGCCUGAGAAAGGAACCUGCCCCUGCUCAGUCUGACCGUGGAAAGAUGUUGGUGGGCUGGGAAGUGACUUAAUGGCUGAGUGCUUGUCCACACGGACACCUGGUGGAAGUAGAAGCAGACACCCAUAACUAAUCACCGAACUGAACUGGAACCCAGAUGCAGAGAAGGACCAGUGAAGAGCACAGAGGUCCAGACCAGGCUGGUGAAACACACAGAAACAGCUGAC
rnacentral:lncRNA from 1 species